CCCUAAAACUCUAAACCUCCAUGGUCGAACCUUUUUUUCUUUCUUUUUUUGUAAUCAUUCUCUGGUCUAAUCGAAUCCGUGAAAACCUAAUAAAACCGCCAUUGACAAACCUUUAAACCUACCGGAGGAAAAAUCGAAUUAGUUAACCCUAAAGGCCUAAACCCUAAAAACCCGCCAUUUCCAAACUUUAAAUCCUACGCUAAAUUUCCCACCGUAAACCAUAACCCUAAGAUCGCGCAAGAGAAUCAGGAAACUACUCGCAGUUUCAGGCGAAACAGGAGGAGGAGGAUUUGCGAUCGGAGGAGAAUCCAUCUUUCUGGUGAAGAAAAAAAAGAGAUUCUGGUGAAGAAAAAUAUUGGGUCUUUGGAAUAUGAAGAAAGAAGAAGAGAGAAACUGAUUUUAAGAAGUAGAGAGAAACUGAUUUUGAUCUGAGGCAAAGUUCAUUAAAUUGGUGAGGGAAUGAAACUUAGACUUGUUGGAGGUUGAUCAGGUGCUUGGAGACUGUUUUUUCAUAGUUUCUUUAGUAAAAUUUGAAACUGGUAGUCUUGAAAAGAGAAGAGUUAAACGAGACAGUUCGCUCCGCUCCGUAGUGGCUGUCGUUUAGAGGAUUGAUGUUCACCCCGAGAAUGCUGUCAAGUUGAACAGAGUAUCUGCUUACUGAAUUCAGAACCUAGCUGAGGAGUCUGCUCAAAAAUUUUCAUGAUGAUAUUAUUGGCUCUGCAAAACAGCUGUUACCCUUUGUAAUCUCUGAUCUCUCCCUCGGAAGAAUUUGCUUGCUUAGGGUGCACCUGACUGAUAUAACUAAGCAAAAGGAAAGUCCGGUGUUAGAGUAGUCUCAUGACUUUACAAUGUUUCUUUCUUUGCCAACUUAGUGAACAGCAUAGAAACCGUUUUGACCAUGAAGAAUUCGACUAAACGCAAUGCGUUGGAGAAAGAUUUAUGAUUCCCCAAGAUAUAUGUAAACAAGAUUAAGUUAGACUUGUGUGUAUGUUUUUAUAUCAUAUUGACUAUAAUUUAUCACAUGAGGAUAUCCAUUGUUUUC